GGGAAAGAUAAAAUAUCAUUAAGCCAUUAAACGGGCAGGCUAUUAAGAACAAACGCAGGGAGGGAUUACAUCUAAAGCUAAAAUCGCCCAGAAAUUUAGCUGCCAAACAAUGAGCAGCUUCAUUCCCUUCUCUUUUAACAAAAGUAAAAGUAAAAGAAAUACAGUGGACUGAACUAGCUAAAAAUGAGAUCAAAGAUAAUCUCUUGAAUAGACAAGGGAGCUAGACUUCCAUUGACGGCAUUUAUCACAGUGAAUGAGUCCCCUUCAAUCUAGACACUUGAAAAUCCUCUAAUUUUUGCAAGAUCCACCGCUUGGAGACAGGCAAGACUUUCAACCAGAUGAGGAUCCAAAAUGUGAGGCCAAAUUUUGCAGGACCAAUCCACCACUCGACCAUGAUCAUCCCUUACCACAACUGCUGUAGCAUCCCUGCAAUUUGAAGUAUCUGCAGCAGCAUCAAAAUUUGUCUUCAGACCAUUGGAGGGAGGGGGUCGCCAAAGCAUGGGACUGGAGAGGUUAUCAACUUGAGCAUCUGAAGGACGGAGUAAAUCUUUAGCAAAUCGAAAAUCUUCAAGAUGGUUGAGAGCCAAUCUGAUCACUUUUUGAUAAGGGAGAGAUACCUGGUUGAACACAGAGAUUCCUACUCUCCCAAAUAUGCCACAAGAUGAAAGCUGUCAUUUGAAUAUAGUUAGAAUCCCCAUUCCAAAGCUUCAACUGAUCACAAAUCUCAGACCAACAGUCUAGGAUUUUAGAAUUUCGGAGCAUAGUUGAGCGCAGCCGAACGGGUGAAUGAACCCAAAGGGCCGCAGACCUGUGACAUGGAAAAAACAAGUGCUGUAAAGUUUCUUGAUGACCACAAAAUUUGCAUUCCGGAGAAAUUAGGAAAACGACCAUGAAGAAUAAUAUUUACAGGUAAUUUUUCUUUUAGAAGAGACCAAAGAAAAUUAAGGUUUUACUAGGCAGAUCAUUUUUCCAAAACUCCUUCCAGAAAUUAUUAAGCAUUGAUUGCGAUGUUGGACCUGGACCAGUGAUGUUCAAAGCGCUGGACUCUGAUGCAUACUUCUAGCAACUUUAUAACCCGAUUUUACUGUAUACGAGUCAUGUUUGUCAAAGUGCCAAAUCAGUCAAUCAUCUCUUCUAGCUAGAGAUGUCGGAAUUGCCAAGAUUUCCCUAACAUCCUCAUCAUAAAAAUUCUGCUGAGUAUUGUCUCGUUCCAAGAAUUGUUUCGAGUGUCCAUUUAUUUGCCGAUCGUUAAUGGAUAAAUUUUGAUAAUUAUCCCUGAACUUAUCUAGUU
rnacentral:misc_RNA from 1 species